CCCCACUAGUCUGGGAGUACCACUUUGGAAACAAGGUGGCUAAUACCGGAUAAGAAAGACGGAUCGCAUGAUCAGCUUUUAAAAGGCGGCGUAAGCUGUCGCUAUGGGAUGGCCCCGCGGUGCAUUAGCUAGUUGGUAAGGUAAAGGCUUACCAAGGCGAUGAUGCAUAGCCGAGUUGAGAGACUGAUCGGCCACAUUGGGACUGAGACACGGCCCAAACUCCUACGGGAGGCAGCAGUC
rnacentral:rRNA from 1 species